CCUACGGGUGGCAGCAGUGAGGAAUAUUGGUCAAUGGGCGCUAGCCUGAACCAGCCAAGUAGCGUGAAGGAUGACUGCCCUAUGGGUUGUAAACUUCUUUUAUAUGGGAAUAAAGUGCAGUAUGUAUACUUCUUUGCAUGUACCUUAUGAAUAAGGAUCGGCUAACUCCGUGCCAGCAGCCGCGGUAAUACGGAGGAUCCGAGCGUUAUCCGGAUUUAUUGGGUUUAAAGGGAGCGUAGGCGGGUUGUUAAGUCAGUUGUGAAAGUUUGCGGCUCAACCGUAAAAUUGCAGUUGAUACUGGCAGACUUGAGUACAGUAGAGGUAGGCGGAAUUCGUGGUGUAGCGGUGAAAUGCUUAGAUAUCACGAAGAACUCCGAUUGCGAAGGCAGCCUGCCGGACUGUAACUGACGCUGAUGCUCGAAAGUGUGGGUAUCAAACAGGAUUAGAUACCCCAGUAGUC
rnacentral:rRNA from 1 species